rnacentral:rRNA from 1 species
UACGGGGGGGGCAAGCGUUGUUCGGAAUUACUGGGCGUAAAGGGCUCGUAGGUGGCCAACUAAGUCGGACGUGAAAUCCCUCAGCUUAACUGGGGAACUGCGUCCGAUACUGGAUGGCUUGAGUUUGGGAGAGGGAUGCGGAAUUCCACGUGUAGCAGUGAAAUGCGUAGAUAUGCGGAGGAACACCGAUGGCGAAGGCAAUCCCCUGGGCCUGCACUGACGCUCAUGCACGAAAGCGUGGGGAGCAAACAGG